UUGAAAGGUCCGCGACCACUAAUGGCCUACUUCUCAAGACUAAGCGCGCAGAUAGGCCCCAGAGUGGUGAAGGGGCGGCGUCGGAGAACGUUGGUCUGCCGAAGACAGACGUCUGACGUCAUGCUCCUCCUAGUCUUUAUUUCCUCCAUGAUCGUCACGAAAAACGGCGCGUGGGUCCUAGGCUUCGCUGUGGGAGAAGGCAGGAAUGUCGACUGCGGGCGCUGGUCGAGGCAACGGGAGGGAGAGCCAGCAGCGGGAUAGGAUAGCUGGCCUCUUCGCUGAUCCAACGUUUCACUACCUUCUGUCUCGGCUACUACUAAGGCCUUUAUAAAAUUAUUCCGGUAAAGUGCUGAUUGGAUGGCACUUUACAAGUUCCUUAACAUUUUCGGCGGCGCUAGGAGCCCUGUAAGUAGUGCUUCAAGGUUCCCAUAGCAUUGUAAGCAAGAAAUUAACAGUAACUUAGGACAGGUCUGGAGCGGCCACUGUGAAAAUAGAGCAAUAGCUCUUCGUGGCUUAACGUGUCCAGUUUGUAAUUGGUAAACUGCAGUCACUCACUGGACCAAAAAGCUGAUUACAUUCAAAAUGCUGUUGAGUUUAUUUUCAUAGUAAUUUCCCACAUAUCCCACAAGUGCCGAUACCGCUCUGCUGGACGCUUUCUCUUAGUUACAGUAACUACAUUUUACAAGUGCGGCAUACUCUGUUCAAGCCUUGUACUGAAACCAGGCAGCAUCAAUCUGCAGAUACACUUGGAACACCCGUCCGUAGUGGGUGAUUCCAACUGCAGAACUGCACUGCCCCUGAGAGACAGACAAAGAACUUUACUGAAGGUCUCGAGAAGCUCCGUUGCCCCCUCUUAGGGAGGUGAUGAAGUCGCGGGCCACACCCACGUCGGGACCCGCUUAGCCAUUUUCUCUACAACUAAGCCAUCUCUUAUUUCUAAGUGGGUAAUCUAACAAUGUAGAUAGAUUCUGUGUUUACCUUCUGGGUCUCGUUAAAGCAUAAUGGUUCACUCUCACAGCAUCCAGAGCAAAAGGUCUUAGGAACACUUAAUAUCGGAACAAGUGCAAGCAUCCUUCGUUCAACGAUGUGCUUGCAUCGUGACACUAGAUGAAUUGCACUUUUCGUGCGUGUGCUUCUAUGUUUUUAAAGUCUGAUCACGUUAUCACCACCUGAAAAUUACACCUAACGACACAAGACACGCUUGCAUUCCAGAAGUUUUUCAAACUGUGUGGCUGCACAACUGCCAAGACUCAACACAUCACUUUAUUUAGCUGCAGUCAAAAUCCCUAUCGUGCGCUAGCACUUCUUUUUUAUGUGCUGGUCAACACCACCGUUCAGCAGUAACUGGAUCAAUUUUCUUACAAGGGCAGCGGUAACUGUACAUUUUAAUGUGACACAAUCUUUGUAACACAGUUAGUAAAGUAGAUGAAAUCGCAAGAGAUGAAACAGGGUAUAAAAACUGUACAUAUGAUGUAUUUAUGACAUAUAUGAAUGAAGUUUUUUUUUUUUGAAAGACAAAAUGACUCUUUUGAGCGGCUGGAAAUGAAGUGUUGUGCGCUGCAAAUCUCUCAGAGUUCGUCGCCGUGCGUGAACUCGGGCAGUGUUGGUUCUUCGCUCUCUGACACCGGCUCCUCUGAAAUCAGGAAUGAAAAAUCUCGCUUUCAGUUAUCUCAAUAUCUGUACGAUCGCAAUUUCUGUACGGGAAGUUAAGUGAGCUGGCAUGUGGAUUUCCUCGUGAACAAAUUUCCCACAGCCUGUGUGACAUGCGUAAAUCGUGCCUCUUGUAGAGCCUGACCAGCUUCUGCCUUAUGACGAAGUGGUCGAAGCAUGGUUUGUUAAAAAGAGCCUCAGCUUAAUUAGCUCAAUAAAGCAAGUAUCGCUUAGCGGCACCUUAUGCUGACGACGAAACAGCCCAACGUGAUUUACAUUAGGCCUAUCUAAGCUUUAUAGGCUGAAUGUCUUAUCAUACCAACUGCAGCCUCACAAUGAAAGGGUGAGAAAUGUUAGGCCUAACUAUGCCUAGCAGCCUGGGUUUUGCUCUGCAAGGUAUCUCAGUAAAAAAUGUGACCACGCCAGUUCUCUGUGCAGUUCCAAGUGCUAGCUUACUCACCAAAUAGUAACAGAUUCACAAUUAGUAAAAAGACAUUAAGUGGCCCUCAAAAAUCUCAUACUUAACAUGAGUGCAAUUGCAUUUGUUUAAGCUGUUUUCCAAACGGUGACUAAAAGCAGCUUAAAAGCUUUUUGUCACUGCUACUGACAUGCAAAUGAUACCGUGCAAAUGAUAUUAUUUCACAGCGUAAAGAAACCCACAUCAUCUCAACAGAUAAAAAUGAGUGACUGCAGCAAGCUGUUCCACCCUGAAAAAAAUGACUUGUACGGGGCAACGUGCAAAACACAUUGUGCAAACAAGAUGUGCACUUUGAAGCAAUGUGAGUGUUUAUUUUGAAAGAGCUUCAUUGCCUACAAAUAUCUACAAUGCAGAUUUUCUUGUAACAGCAGCUCUUCGAGAUGCAGUGUUGCACAAAAAAUGCGCAGUUUCAAAUAAGCAUUCCCUAAGUUGAGACUAGAAAUGGAGUGACAAGUUCCUACUACCUAAAUAGUGAAAACUGUGGCAAAUAGCAAUUAUCCGGCUUAUGGGAGCAGCUCGAUCUAGUUCCAGAAAUAAAGCUUCUGGACAAAGUUCCUGAAAUUGCACUGUUGCAGUAGACAAAUCUCGGCUGGUUGUGAACAUGCUGAACUUGAGGAGUGUUAAGCAAUUGUGCACCAGUGUGCUGAGGCAUUUCAACAGUUGGUGUGGAGGCAGCCAACUUCAGCACGAAAUCUCACCGCUGAUUUUCAUCGUGUUUGUUGUUGAGAGAAGUGUUGUUAAUAAACAAAUGAUGAAAUCUACACGCUGUCACUGUGUGUGAAACAAAUAUUCAUACAUGCAUCAGUAGUUUGUGAGUUUCCAGUUUCAGAAUCACUUAAGAAUGUAAUGAACUGUAUACACUAACUAAUGUACAAGGUGUGUGGUACUUUUCUUUCUCAAGGCAAGACCACAUUAACCACA
rnacentral:lncRNA from 1 species